rnacentral:rRNA from 1 species
UACGGGGGGGGUAAGCGUUGUUCGGAAUUACUGGGCGUAAAGGGCUCGUAGGCGGCCAACUAAGUCGGACGUGAAAUCCCUCAGCUUAACUGGGGAACUGCGUCCGAUACUGGAUGGCUUGGAUUUGGGAGAGGGAUGCGGAAUUCCAGGUGUAGCGGUGAAAUGCGUAGAUAUCUGAAGGAACACCAGUGGCGAAGGCGACUUCCUGGCCUGUUCUUGACGCUGAGGCGCGAAAGCUAGGGUAGCAAACGGG